UACGUAGGGACCGAGCGUUGUCCGGAAUCAUUGGGCGUAAAGAGCGUGUAGGCGGCUAUUUAAGUCCUGCGUGAAAUCCUGCGGCUCAACCGGCAGACGGUCGUGGGAAACUGGAUGGCUAGAGUGCGGGAGAGGAGAGUGGAAUUCCCGGUGUAGCGGUGAAAUGCGCAGAUAUCGGGAAGAACACCCGUGGCGAAGGCGGCUCUCUGGAACGCAACUGACGGCUGAGACGCGAAAGCGUGGGGAGCAAACAGG
rnacentral:rRNA from 1 species